ACUGCUAUUUGGGUGAGGAUAAGCCAUGCGAGUUGGAUGGGAUACCUAAAGUUCCCAUAGCAAACUGCUUAGUAACACAUGAUCAACUUGCCCUAUGGAGAAAACUAACCUCGGGAAACUGAGGAUAAUGUUUCAUAGUUGAAUAGGCUUGGAAAAGUUUUUCAAUGAAAGGAAUAAGAUAAAUGGUUCUUAUUUGCCAUAGGAUAGGAUCGUGGUCGAUUAUGGUAGUUGGUGAGAUAACGGCUCACCAAGCCGAUAAUCGAUAGGGGCCGUGAGAGCGGGAGCCCCAAGAUGGGUACUGAGACAGCGACCCAGGCCUUACGAGGCGCAGCAGGCGCGAGACCUCCGCAAUACACGAAAGUGUGACGGGGUUACCCAAAGUGUUCUCUUAAGAACUGUGGCAGGUGAGUAAUGUCCCCUGCUAGAAAGGAGAGGGCAAGGCUGGUGCCAGCCGCCGCGGUAAAACCAGCUCUUCAAGUGGUCGGGAUAAUUAUUGGGCUUAAAGUGUCCGUAGCCGGUUUAGUAAGUUCCUGGUAAAAUCGGGUAGCUUAACUAUCUGCAUGCUAGGAAUACUGCUAUACUAGAGGGCGGGAGAGGUCUGAGGUACUACAGGGGUAGGGGUGAAAUCUUAUAAUCCUUGUAGGACCACCAGUGGCGAAGGCGUCAGACUGGAACGCGCCUGACGGUGAGGGACGAAAGCCAGGGGAGCGAACCGGAUUAGAUACCCGGGUAGUCCUGGCCGUAAACGAUGCAUACUAGGUGAUGGUACGGCCAUGAGCCGUAUCAGUGCCGUAGGGAAACCGUUAAGUGUGCCGCCUGGGAAGUACGGUCGCAAGGCUAAAACUUAAAGGAAUUGGCGGGGGAGCACCACAAGGGGUGAAGCCUGCGGUUCAAUUGGACCCAACGCCGGGAAACUUACCAGGGGAGACAGCAGAAUGAGGGUCAGGUUGACGACCUUACCUGAUGAGCUGAGAGGAGGUGCAUGGCCGUCGCCAGUUCGUGCUGUGAGGUAUCCUGUUAAGUCAGGUAACGAACGAGAUCCGCACCUUUAUUUGCCAACAAGAAGUUACGACUUCGUUGGGAACACUAAAGGGACCGCCGUCGAUAAGACGGAGGAAGGAGCGGGCAAAGGCAGGUCAGUAUGCCCCGAAACCCCUGGGCUACACGCGGGCUGCAAUGGUAUGAACAAUGGGCUGUAACUCCGAAAGGAGAAACCAAUCCCGAAAUCAUAUCACAGUGGGGAUUGUUGGCUGUAACCCGCCGACAUGAACGUGGAAUCCCUAGUAAUCGUGUGUCAUCAUCGCACGGUGAAUACGUCUCUGCUCCUUGCACACACCGCCCGUCGCUCCAUCCGAGUGUACUAAAAAUGAGGUUUGGUCAGACUGGUCAUAUCGAGUUUCUAGUAUGCGAGGAGGGAGAAGUCGUAACAAGGUA
rnacentral:rRNA from 1 species